AUUAUUCUAAAAAGAUAUCUUGAAGAAACCUAAAAGUUUAAUAUAAGAAAAAUAGUUUUCUACUAUCAGGUAUCAAAACGAAUACGAAUUUAAGUUUUCAUCUUGUAGAAUUCGUGGCUCCAGUUUUAGUUCACAAUAAUGAUGAAAUGCAUAGUUCCUGGAUGCCGCUCGAAGGAAAAUAAAUCCAGAGCUAAUUUCUAUAACGUCCCGUCAACCGGUUACAGCGUGUUCAGAGAAAGGAAAAAGUUUUUGAAUUUAUCUGAAUUUAGAACAGAAAAAAUUUGCAGGCGUCAUUUCACUGUUAAAGAUUUUAAUAUUCAUAAUCGUAUCGAAUUGAAAGAUGAUGCUAUUCCGUCAUUAAGAAUUCCACAGAGUGGUCCGAAGGUAGAUAUAGAAGGAGCUUGCUGUGUUUUUCGAUGCGGAACAAAAAAUAGUAAGAAAUUGCGAAAGUUUCCAUCACGGAAGGCUAUUUUGAAUAGAUGGUUGCAAACAUUAGAAAUAGGAGAACAUGUUACAACUAAGCUUAAAAUUUGUUUGCGGCAUUUUACUGUCAACGAUUACGUUAAAGUUACGAGGAGAUACCUAAAACCAAGCGCUAUCCCAUCAAAACAUAUGAAAAAACUUGUCAAAUAUCCCAAACGAUUUCAACGUGCUAAAGUACCGCCUUCACAUUUAUGGGAUCACAACUACUGUGUGUACUAUAGAACUCGUCUUACUACGAAUCGAGUAUGUUACGUUAUGGGUUGUUCUUCGAGAGCAUGCAAAGGAAUUUCUUUACAUAAAUUUCCAAUAAAAAAUAAUUCACUUUUUAAA